AACGAACGCUGGCGGCAGGCUUAACACAUGCAAGUCGAACGCCCCGCAAGGGGAGUGGCAGACGGGUGAGUAACGCGUGGGAAUCUACCCAACUCUACGGAAUAACUCAGGGAAACUUGUGCUAAUACCGUAUACGCCCUUCGGGGGAAAAGAUUUAUCGGAGUUGGAUGAGCCCGCGUUGGAUUAGCUAGUUGGUGGGGUAAAGGCCUACCAAGGCGACGAUCCAUAGCUGGUCUGAGAGGAUGAUCAGCCACAUUGGGACUGAGACACGGCCCAAACUCCUACGGGAGGCAGCAGUGGGGAAUAUUGGACAAUGGGCGCAAGCCUGAUCCAGCCAUGCCGCGUGAGUGAUGAAGGCCCUAGGGUUGUAAAGCUCUUUCACCGGUGAAGAUAAUGACGGUAACCGGAGAAGAAGCCCCGGCUAACUUCGUG
rnacentral:rRNA from 1 species